rnacentral:lncRNA from 1 species
AGAUCAGCCCUGGGGUUCAGAGGGAUCCUGACAGCUACUCCUCAAGAUCCUCUCUGUUGUGAUUCAUCCCCCCGGGGCCCUACAGUUUCUCCUUCCUGACUCUUACAUUUCUUUGGAUGGCAUCAUUAUUUACCUGUCUCCUCCCAUAGUUAGGUGCCAAGCACUGUGGAUUCUGCCUCUCAGUGUCCAGACACCCAUUUUCCUUCCCACUGUUCCUUCCCCAUGGAGAAGCCUGUGGCUGGCUGACAGCAGAGAGAGAUGCUCAACUUGGAGAAGGUGUUACCUGGGCCAGGUGGGGAAGGUUUGUUUGCAGAGCAAAGAAGUGAAGAUCCUCAUGUGACAGGUGACCUGCCAUAUAAUCAGAAGGAAGAAAUGUUACACAGAGAGGCUGAGAAGAAUCUGAGGACUUGCUAAGUUUUCCCCAGUUUAUUACCAUUAGAUCAUAUGCCUUUUUUGUUCAAUCAUACUUCUAUACAACUGUCCAUCAUUCAUUAAACCUAACCACAAAAGUAGUUUUCACUCGGUUUUUGAGUGAAGGCUCCUGUGUCACAUAAAACUUACAUUAAAUAAAUUUGUUCCACUUUU